rnacentral:rRNA from 1 species
AAGGAAUAUUGGUCAAUGGACGCAAGUCUGAACCAGCCAUGCCGCGUGAAGGAUGAAGGUCCUCUGGAUUGUAAACUUCUUUUAUUUGGGACGAAAACGGGAUUUUUAUCUCAAUUGACGGUACCAGAGGAAUAAGCACCGGCUAACUCCGUGCCAGCAGCCGCGGUAAUACGGAGGGUGCGAGCGUUAUCCGGAUUUACUGGGUUUAAAGGGUGCGUAGGUGGGCUUAUAAGUCAGUGGUGAAAGCCUGUCGCUUAACGAUAGAACUGCCAUUGAUACUGUAAGUCUUGAGUAUAUUUGAGGUAGCUGGAAUAAGUAGUGUAGCGGUGAAAUGCAUAGAUAUUACUUAGAACACCAAUUGCGAAGGCAGGUUACCAAGAUAUAACUGACGCUGAGGGACGAAAGCGUGGGGAGCGAACA